AUUACCUGUGUGAUUACAUAGCAACUGUAACCUGUGCUAGAUUGAACUUUUGGCAAUAGUGAAGAACUCUCCGGUACGUUAUAGAUUCGGCUGUGAAAGGUGUUAUAUAGAGUUUUCCUCCAAGAGGGGUGGGAGAAGUUACAUAGAAGCCCCA